CCCAGAAUGGAUCCCAGCAUGGAGCUGACACAGCAGCCUGUGCCAGCUUUACCCAUCCAAAUACACACCACCGCCAUCAGACCAGGGCUGGCUGGCUUCCCCUGAGAUUAUCUAAAGAGGAGCUGGAGAAGGAAGAGCUUGUUUAAGAUGACACGAACCGACCCACCUGACAUACUGGUGUCUACAGUGUAUCAAGACGUAGAGCUGAAGUGCCCAGCACCCAGGGAUUCCAUUGUCUGCCAGCCACUGACACAAUGUGACGCCUUCAUGUCAGCAUCUCUGCCGCACGACACGCAGCCCUUCAACAAGCGCCACUGUAGGAGCUUUGACUUUCUUGAGUUGCUCGACGACCAGCUGGCCCCUGCUCCUGCUAUGGAGCGCCCCUGCUGGCACCUGGGCACCCCCGAGCCUUCCUCAGGCUCCAGAGGCAGGAAGGCUCCUCCCAGGCUCGACGUUCAGAACACCAGGCCAGCCCCUCAUGGCAGGGAAGGCCCCAAGGAGCCAUUGGCUCGGGCGGAGCCAAAGAGGCGAGCGAGGUCCAAGAGCGCCCCUCGGGUGAAAUCCACCUUCACUCCCAUUGCCAUCCAGAUGUCAUCCUCGUCUCCCCCCAUGCCAGCCAGGCGGGGACGGGAGGCUCUGCGCCUCUCCAGGGAGCCUGUGAGGACAGAGACGUCCCCGCGCAGGGGGAGCGGAUACGCACCAAUGAAGGCCCCAAUGAAUGAGGUGCACCCCAUCAAGCUGCAGCCUCAGCGGAGCAGCACCAGCCGCAUCUCCCCACUAUGUGUCAGUAGCAACUGCCCGGAGGAGGCCCCAGGUGGAAGGCCGGCCACAAGCCUGCAUGUCAAGUGCCGGAUGGACAUGAAGCCAGAUGAGGCGGUGCUGGUGCACGCAGCACACAGCCUGAAAGCCCAGAGCAGGAUGGAGGUACCAUACUGGCCGAGGCCACCUGGUGCUAGCCGGAGCCUGACUAUCCCAAGCAGCAGGCAGGUGUCCGUGUCCCGCACUCCCACGCCCAGCGACUCCUACAGUGGGGAGCACAGGCUGCCCUACCCCAAUGAGUACUACGAAGGUGACCCUCGAGGCCAGGCUUACCAGGCCAUGCCCUCCCCACAGGACUAUCCCGAGAGGGGCUGUGUGACCUUCUCCACUCCAAACGUGCCCACCAAGUUCUUCUACACAGAGGAGCCAGCCGGGUGCCCUGGUCUCGGCAUUCCACUGAAAAGCUCUGGCUACGAGGCGUGUCCUCACCCAUACCCAGGGCGCCACCUCCCUCCACAGCCCUUCUACCCAGAGGACCCAGCCAAAGGUAAUAUCCACACCAUCCCACCCAGGACUUUCUACGUGGAAGAAGCUCGGACCUACCCCAUCCAGGAAGCCCCUGCCCACACCUUCUACAGAGAAGACCCUCGAUUCUACACCUCCAGGGGCAUGCCCACCAAACCCCUCUAUGCAGAGGACCCCAGGGUGUACCCUGCUCUGAACACCUCCUCCCGGUUGUUCUACACUGAGGAUUAUGGCAAAUACCACGAGAGGGAAUCCAUUUCGCGGACGUACCCUCAUGCCCGUAGCACCCAGCCUUUGCAGUUCAGCGACUGGUACUGCCCGGAUCGGGUUGCACUGCCCUACCAGACCUUGCAGAUGUCCCGCUUUGCACCUCAUCCCUCUGGGCAAGAGGCCUUGCUUUCCUCUUGGCAUGCCAGCUACAGCGCCAACCAGCCCCGCUUAGGCACAGACACCCGGCAUUACUCCAAAUCCUGGGACAACAUCCUGGCGCCCAGUAUCCGCAGGGAGGACCCCAUGUUCCGCGGGCGCAGCUAUGAGAACCUGCUCGCCCGGGAGCAGCACCGUGCCUUAUCCCCUGAUGACCGGCGGCAGCCUGUGGUGAUCAAUCUGUCCAGUUCUCCCAAGCGCUAUGCAGCGCUCUCCCUCUCGGAGAACUCCAUCAUGGAGAAGAUGCACACAGACGGUGGGCGGUGCCCCCUGGGCCGCUCCUGGUUUGUCACCCCAGAAAUCACCAUCACCGACAAUGACAUCAAAGCCAAUGGGCUGAGCAAGAGCGAGAAGCGCUCGGCCAGCUGGGAUAUGCUCGAUUCCGGGCGGGAUGGGCAUCGCUCCCGUGCCGCACACUACUACUUGGAUCCCACUGCCAAAGAGACCAUCCAAAGCAGCUCUGCCCGCCAGCGCAGCCUGGAGCAGUUGGACGAGCUGAUCACAGACCUGGUCAUCGACUCCAAGCCCCCGCCCAGCCACCACCCCAGCAACGGGGACAGCCUGACAGACCAGCUCAAGAGGCUGAUCGACAAUGACGUGCCCAGGCCUGCCAGGAAGCUGGAGGCCAGGAAGCCGCUGCCUUUAUUGGUGGGGGAGCCCAGGCCCACCAAGGAGCAGCCAGGCCCGAGUUCCUUCCACAGAGACAUAUGCAAGGAGCAGGGUGGCCGCUCGCUUGCCAUGUCUGUCUCCAGCAGCAGCUUUGAGAAGCAGCAGGAUGGCUGCUCCCCGGAGCUGAGCGCGGAUGAGGACGACAUGAUGAUGUGUUCGAAUGCCAAGUGCAAGCGCACGGAGACCAUGUUCAAUGCCUGCCUCUACUUCAAGUCCUGCCACAGCUGCUAUACAUACUACUGCUCCCGGAGCUGCCGCCGUGAGGACUGGGACACUCACAAGGAGAGCUGCAUCUACGGGCGUAUUGGGAGCAUCUGCCGGCACGUGCUGCAGUUCUGCCGGGAGAACGCCGAGGUGCACAAGGCCUUCUCACGCAUUGCCAAGGUGGGGUACCUUUCCCGAGGGCGAGGGGUGCUGUUCCUGGGCUUCCCCAGCUCAGGCUCAGCCGAGAACUUCCUCCAGUUUGGCUUGGAGAGUCUGCUGAUGUCUCCCACCUACCUGUCCCUGCGGGAGCUGGAGGGCUACGCGGAGAACCUGGGGGAUUAUGCCCGGGAGUUGGGGGUGUCUGGCAGCCAGUACGACCCUGAGGAAUGUUUCCUCUUGAAUGUAACUGUGGCCGUUGGACAAAAAGUGCCUGUGAGGCAUUCCCCCAAGAUCCAGGUGCCGACAGUCAGGAAAUAUGCCAAGGUGGCCUUAGCCUCCUCCAGCCCCGAGAAGCAGAUCCUGAAGAAGGAACGGGACAUGGAGACCUUGAUCCUGACCCCCCCGCCUGGCACGGCGGACCUUGACAAGGAGGGGGAGGAAGGGCGGAAGGCCCGGGAGGUCUGCUUCAUCAACAUCCAGCGGGAGCUGCGGAUCCGAGGCGUCUUCCUGCGCCAUGAGUUCCCCAAAAUCUACGAGCAGCUGUGUGACUUCGUGGAGAGCAACAAGAGGUUCACGCCUACCACCAUCUACCCCAUUGACAGGCGGACUGGAAAGCAGUUCAUGUGUAUGAUCAUGGCCGCCUCUGAGCCACGGACCCUGGACUGGGUCGCCAGCCCCAACCUCCUGGACGACCUCAUGUGACCAGCGCUGCCACACCACACAGGCCUCCUGUUUAGUCCCCUUUGUAGACAGGGAACCACCGCGUGUUGCUGCCAUCUAGAGAGAUGGACCAGAACUACAUCCCUGGAUCCAAACAUCCUAUCUCCCAAGCCUCUGAUUCAAAGGUGGAGGUUCCCCAUGCAGAGCCGAAUGGAAACCUCCCCAGGUGGCAGGGUGCUCAGGUGGUGCCCAUUAUAAAGAGACAUCCAGCUGUGCAUGCUGAUCCUUGGUUUUGGUUCAUGCCCUUCUCCACUCUGAGCGCAUCAGUCUAGGAUUUCGCCUGUUGGCCAGGGAACUUCUGACCAUGCACUAAUGUGAAUGCACCAGAGCCAUGAGCACUGAUUUUGGGCCUGCCCAGCAUCAAGGGAUCAAGUAAAAAAACACCUGAAGUUAUUAACUAGCACUGGAAUGGAAACCAUCAGUUCCUGUGCCAGGCUGCUGGGUCAGCCAGGGGUGUCCAUGCCACUGCUGGGAGGCGGCACCCUCAACGACAGCACUGUUGUGGGCAGCUACCACCCCACUGCACCAGCUAGAUAGUGCCCAUUAGCUGAGUAGAUGUGAGUUCGUCUUCUGUAAAAGCUGAAUAGUUGGAGCAAAAGUGAGGGACUCCUGCCUCUCAGCCAGCUAAGCUGAGUUCCUCCCCAGCAGUGCUGCGGUCAGUGGGAUUUCCUGCCUUUCAUCAUAAGGCCAGGUGGGCUUUUCUCAUCCACACCAUCCCAGUCAUCGUAAGUUCCCUCCCCCAUUUCACCUGCAGAGCUGUGACUUCUCUUGUGGCAGCAGGGGAAACUGGGAGCAUCUUUGUCCUGGUUUUGCACUGUCUGGGAUCCUGUCCAGGCUUUAACCAUGUUUCAUGGCCGAGAUCCAAACAGCUCUUCCAACUACACAGCUUCAAGGUCAUGGUGGAUCCUGAUAGCUGCAGCCUCCUAAUCGAACAAACAAUAAAUAAAAAGACUGAAACUGCAUCUUCUCAGCUGGGCUCCCUGGAGGGUUUUACCUAAACAGGACAGAAUUCUUUGAUAAAUGCAUGUUCUAUUUAUUUCCUUUUUUAAAAUUAUGCAUCAUAUAGAAGAGUCAGAUCACAUCUCCUCUUGUGCAGAACAGAACUACGUCUGUAUUUUCUCACGUUUCGUUGUAUCAUUCCUGCUGGUGUCCCACGGCAAAGUUUCGGAGGUAAACUUAUUAUGAGAGACCUAUUUUCUUUGGAUAUCCAUAAAGUAUAACUUGAAUGUACAGUUGUUGUCUGCCUUUACUGACUUGACUGGGCAGCAAUAGUUUUGUGAGGAAGGUGCUGAUCUUGUGAGUCAGGCAGGGGAAACCUUUCCUGCUAACAUGAAGACAGAGUCCGCCUGGGGCCAAAAAACACUUAACUGGAAUGAGAUACAAAGAAAAGGAACUGUUAGAAGCUCUGGGACACUGGAGGAGUGAUGGGUGAGUGACCAUUUGUAAGUGUGACAAAGUGACGUGCUGCAGACAUAAGCGACACAUGCCUGGGGAGUGGGGAUCAGAGCCUGGUCCAUCCACCCCAAACAUCUACGCCUCUGCUACUUGUGUGAGAGGCAACUUCAAAAGCUGACAGAAGCGGUAGCCGGUCACAAGAGGGCAGCAUCCCCCAUACAGACCAAAACCCAGUACACUACAGCACCAUCCUCACCCAUUUGCC